GCAGUCGUGGCCGAGUGGUUAAGGCGAUAAACUAGAAAUCCAUUGGGGUCUCCCCGCACAGGUUCGAAUCCUAUCGACUGCG
rnacentral:tRNA from 1 species